GGUGGUUCUCGGGUGACACACCCGGAAUCGGGCUCUCUCCUCUGGUUCUGGGUGUGUCACCUGAGAACCUCC
rfam:Myotis davidii contig189488, whole genome shotgun sequence.